rnacentral:rRNA from 1 species
CGAUGGGCGCUAGUUGUGGGGACCUUCCACGGUUUCUGCGACGCAGCUAACGCAUAAAGCGCCCCGCCUGGGGAGUACGAUCGCAAGAUUAAAACUCAAAGGAAUUGACGGGGACCCGCACAAGCAGCGGAGCAUGCGGCUUAAUUCGACGCAACGCGAAGAACCUUACCAAGGCUUGACAUAUAGUGAAAAGCGGCAGAGAUGUCGUGUCCGCAAGGGCGCUAUACAGGUGGUGCAUGGUUGUCGUCAGCUCGUGUCGUGAGAUGUUGGGUUAAGUCCCGCAACGAGCGCAACCCUCGUUCUGUGUUGCCAGCAUUUAGUUGGGGACUCACAGGAGACUGCCGUGGUUAACACGGAGGAAGGUGGGGAUGACGUCAAAUCAUCAUGCCCCUUAUGUCUUGGGCUGCACGCAUGCUACAAUGGCCGAUACAAAGGGCUGCAAUACCGUGAGGUGGAGCGAAUCCCAUAAAGUCGGUCUCAGUUCGGAUUGAGGUCUGCAACUCGACCUCAUGAAGUCGGAGUUGCUAGUAAUCGUAGAUCAGCAACGCUACGGUGAUACGUUCCCGGGUCUUGUACACACCGCCCGUCACGUCACGA